GACGAACGCUGGCGGCGUGCUUAACACAUGCAAGUCGAACGGAAAGGCCCUGCUUUUGUGGGGUGCUCGAGUGGCGAACGGGUGAGUAACACGUGAGUAACCUGCCCUUGACUUUGGGAUAACUUCAGGAAACUGGGGCUAAUACCGGAUAGGAGCUCCUGCUGCAUGGUGGGGGUUGGAAAGUUUCGGCGGUUGGGGAUGGACUCGCGGCUUAUCAGCUUGUUGGUGGGGUAGUGGCUUACCAAGGCUUUGACGGGUAGCCGGCCUGAGAGGGUGACCGGCGGGGGUGGGAGGGAGGGACGGCGCAGAGGGGGAGGGGAGGCAGCAGUGGGGAAUAUUGCAGAAUGGGCGGAAGCCGGAUGCAGCAACGCCGCGUGCGGGAUGACGGCCGUCGGGUUGUAAACCGCUUUCGCCUGUGACGAAGCGUGAGUGACGGUAAUGGGUAAAGAAGCACCGGCUAACUACGUG
rnacentral:rRNA from 1 species